CGGCAGACAUAUACACAUCAGAGGCAGUCUGCAGAUGGGUGAGGCGCGGCCCCUGGCCUUGCUGGGCUGGAAGGAUGCUCUGGGAGGUCUGGUGUACAUGCGUUUUGACUAGGCAGGACUUGCACCCCACCUUCCAGACAGACAGUGCUUCCUCGCCCAGAACUGUCAAAACCUGUCGAAGAUUAAGAUGUCUUUCCAGCAACCCAAGGGUUGUUCCCAGGCCUGUUUCAACUGUACCAGGAGCUUCAGGAGCUGGCAGUGUGGGACGACCAGCGAGAAAGCUACCGUCAUCUGCAAAGGAUGGGCGUGGUUUUCAAAUAAAGAAUCACUUUCCAGGCAAAGAGAGCUUCUUACCACUCUAGAAGGUGAUCCUGGGAACUGAUUCUUAGAAUAAACAUGAG
rnacentral:lncRNA from 1 species